UACAGAGGGGGCAAGCGUUGUUCGGAAUUACUGGGCGUAAAGGGCGCGUAGGCGGCCUUCUAAGUCGAACGUGAAAUCCCCGGGCUCAACCCGGGAACUGCGUCCGAUACUGGAAGGCUUGAAUCCGGGAGAGGGAUGCGGAAUUCCAGGUGUAGCGGUGAAAUGCGUAGAUAUCAGGAGGAACACCGGUGGCGAAGGCGGGUCUCUGGGCCGAUACUGACGCUGAGGAGCGAAAGCGUGGGGAGCGAACAGG
rnacentral:rRNA from 1 species